rnacentral:lncRNA from 1 species
UGGGGAAUGUGCCAAAGAGACAACAACCCGACCAUAGAAAAAAACAACAGCAGAAGGUCACCAACAGGUCUUCAAUGUAGCGAGAAAUUUCCGCACACGGAGGCGUCCUUCAGCUGGCCCUAAACAAAUAUAUACUAGUUCAGUGAUAAUGAACGCCAUACUAAUUUCCAAAUUGUACACAAGAAACUAAAAUUAAAAUAAUACAAGACUAACAAAGGCCAGGGGCUCCUGACUUGGGACAGGCGCAAAAAUGCGGCGGGGUUAAACAUGUUUAUGAGAUCUCAACCCUCCCCCUAUACCUCUAGCCAAUGUAGAAAAGUAAACGCAUAAUAAUACGCACAUUAAAAUUCAGUUCAAGAGAAGUCCGAGUCUGAUGUCAGAAGAUGUAACCAAAGAAAAUAAACAAAAUGACAAUAAUACAUAAAUAACAACAGACUACUAGCAGUUAACUGACAUGUCAGCUCCAGAC